CCAAAUCUUACUCUUCUUCAGUUCUUCCACAAACAAACAAAGAAACAAACUAGGGUUUUAGGGUUUUAUUACACUCUUCAAAAAAGGCUUCAAUGGCGGAAUCGAUUUGCAGAGCACUCCGAGACGGUGCGUUGCAAGGAGAACACGCACCGGCUCUAACCAUCAAGGACUCCAUUGCCUCACCUUUCGGUUUCCACGUCUUCACUCACCUUCUCACCCAGCUUUCCUCCAACAUUUUGGCGGCAAAAUCCCAAUCACGUGGUCUCGUGCUUGUCGCUCUCUCUCGAAGCCCGUCGUUUUACUUGGAUUUGUUGAAUAGAAUAGGCAUUGAUGUCGCUUCGUCCCAAAAAUGGAUUGAGAUUUUGGAUUGUUAUACGGAUCCUCUUGGUUGGAAGGAUGCCCUUUUGGCGUCUGGAAAUGGUGGGAGUCUCUCUAACGAAGCUUCGACUGGAGCUAGUUUGUGUAGGAAUGUGAAGGAUAUGGACAAGUUGUACUCUUCAAUUAUCGAGCUGGGGAAAGGAAUAGUUGAACAAGGCAAAGUUCGUUUUUGUGUUGCCAUAGACUCGGUUAAUGAAAUCUUAAGACAUGCAUCUAUAUCAUCAGUUGCAGGCCUUUUAAGUAACCUUCGAAGCAAUGAUAGAGUUUCGAGCAUCUUUUGGUUGUCACAUUCAGACCUUCAUGAAGACAGGGUUACUGCCGUUCUUGAGUAUAUGUCCUCGAUGGUGGCCAGUAUAGAACCGCUAAAUCAAUCUGCAAAUGGGCAUAGAUGUAAUUGGGAGAGCCUCCCUUUACUCGAACGUAAUUAUUGGAAAGGGAAGUUUCAUGUCCGGUUUAAGCGCAGAAAUGGUCGUGUUCGAGUGAUGUCUGAAGAAUUUCAUGUUGAGCAAUCAGCCAUCAACUUUAGAUCCAUUUCAUCCGAAGAUGAAAUAGUCAAUCGAAGCCUUUUGCCAAAGAUGCAAUUCAAUUUACAGCUGUCAGAGAAGGAGCAAAUUGAUAGGGCUAAGGUUGUACUUCCUUUUGAACACCAGGGAACUGGUAAACCCAUUCAAAUUUAUGAUGGUCGGAGAUCACUUACGGAUGGCAAUAGUGAAGCGGAACCUGUUUCUACUGGAAUAUUGCAGACAAAUGAGAACUCUAGCAAGGGUGAGAUAAUAUAUUUGCGUGAUUCAGAUGAUGAGAGACCAGAUUCUGAUGAGGACCCAGAUGAUGAUUUGGAUAUAUAAUUGUGUGUGCCUCAUUCGUGAUCUUGGACUGCCAGAGUACUGCAUUUAUGCUCUGUACCAACUUAACCUUUUUGCAUUUUGAGUCAGUGGUAAUUCUCUCCGACAAGUAUUUACUCUCUCGUCUAGUCUGAGUUGUUAUUAAUUUGUCAGUUGAUGCUUAUGGCUGCCAGAUUGGGUGGACAAGGCAAAGACCGGGUGCUAGAUAUGCUCAAUGAAACCCUGCUGCCUUGAGUGGAGGAUGUCCUAGUUCACCUAGACUUUCGAGGAUGUGAUAAUAGCGGUCUAAAAUAUGUGUGGAAGAGAAGCUAUGCUUUGGUGAAGAUAUGUGAUGAACGUUACUCAGAGGGGAUUCGUAUGCAACUGUUGUGUGAUUCGUUUCAAGUCUAUUCAUGAGUCAUGAUCAUGAAAUGAAAUUAUAAUCAGGGGAUUGUAUUUACAUUUUGUUAUUUGGAGCUUGUUAUGAAAAUCUAUCUGGUUGUUAUACUC